rnacentral:rRNA from 1 species
GAACGAACGCUGGCGGCAGGCCUAACACAUGCAAGUCGAGCGCGCCCUUCGGGGUGCGCGGCGGACGGGUGAGUAACGAGUGGGAACGUGCCCUUUUCUACGGAAUAGCCUCGGGAAACUGAGAGUAAUACCGUAUACGCCCUUUGGGGGAAAGAUUUAUCGGACAAGGAUCGGCACGCGUUGGAUUAGGUAGUUGGUGGGGUAAUGGCCUACCAAGCCGACGAUCCAUAGCUGGUUUGAGAGGAUGAUCAGCCACACUGGGACUGAGACACGGCCCAGACUCCUGCGGGAGGCAGCAGUGGGGAAUCUUAGACAAUGGGGGCAACUCUGAUCUAGCCAUGCCGCGUGAGUGAUGAAGGCCUUAGGGUUGUAAAGCUCUUUCAGCUGGGAAGAUAAUGACGGUACCAGCAGAAGAAGCCCCGGCUAACUCCGUG